GAGGUCUUCUUAGGCCAUUUUCAUUUUCAAUUUCUUUAUUUGGUGCACACAUGGUCACAUGAAUUGCUAGGAAAAAGUUGUGUUUUCUUAUUUCUUUUGUUUUAAAUUAAUUUGCAUAUUAGGAUUAGUUGCUUUUGAUUUCUCUAAUUUAGUUUUGCAUCUAAAUUAAUUUAACUUUGUUAGAUAGUUGUGUGUAAUAGCGUCGGUGUCUAGUAUUUUAUUUUAUUUUGUCUUAAUGUUGUCUAAUAUGUUUGGUCUUGUUGCUUUAGUUGCCAUGUUAGCUUAGAUUAACUGUGUUGGUCAUUAGCGAUAUUGCACUACUUCUUUGAGAUUUCUGGACUGUAUAUGUUUUUGCUACUCUGACUUGGUCAAUAUCAAAUCUGUAUUUGCACUUGCAAAUGGGUGUACACUUAGUUACCCAGUUGGUGUUGAGUCGUCUCUUAGUCGAUGAAACUACAUGGUGUAAGUUAGAUUUGACGUUAACAUUGCGUUCACUUAGUCCGCUUUUAUGAAAACAUAAUUAUAUGCGCUUAGUUGAUUAAUUGUGUUGGAUUAGAGGUCUGAGUCGGUUUUAUUUUGUUGAUCCGUGAUAGAAAGCAUUGUAAUUAAGUUAAUGACCAACUGCUUUUAUUCUGUCUUUGAACCCGUUUUUAAAUUUGUGUUUAAUUAUUAGUUGCGUAUGUGUUUUUGAUUUUAUUCAUCCGUAUUCACCACAAACUUUUCAUAACCCCCCUGUAAGACCCGUAUAAAUAAAAUGAUUUCUUACCUUAAGCAAUUUAAUUUUGGUGGUAUUAGAUAAUAAAUUUUGAUGUGAAACGUUGUUGAGAAAUAUUUAAGGAAGGGAAGAAAAUUAAAUUAAUAAUGGUUUUAUAUUAAUUUUCGAAAAAGCUUGGAAUCGUAUUUAAAUAUAAUUGUUUGCGCUAUUAUAUCGGUGGAUGGAGCUUGGUCUAGUGGUUGUUGUGUGUGCAUGGGAGGGAUGUGUUUUUGGUCUUAAGUUCUAACCCUCCCAAGACCAAAAAGGCUCCUAGCUCUUUUUACUUUCCACCUUGUCAUGUGGGUCCCACCAUGAGGUAAGAAAGAUGAAAUCAAAUUCAUAUGAAUUAGGGGUAGCAACGUUAAUGGAGUAUUUCUUUGAUGUGUUUCAUGCAUUAAAUGAUAUUGGUUCUCUUUAUUUUGUUUUGUAUUUCUUUGCAUGGUUGGAUACAUGUUUUUUUAGACUUUGGAAAUAUUAAGUGACAUUUGAUUUCCUUGUGGGAGGUUACCAUUUAGUAAUUGUAGGUUACAUAAAUGAGAGUUAAGGGGCAUUUUAACACCUUUUAAAAACUACCAUUUACACACAUUAAAGAGAGGUUUUAUUGGUGUUAAUGUGGAGUUAGGAAGGGGAAAAAUCUGAAAUGGCUUAAGGGUGUCCUUGGGAGUGACCUAGAAUAAAGUGGUUAAGGGUUAGUAGGAUUGAGAGUUAGUCUCUACUUAAAUGUGUAACUUUAAGUUAGAAAAAAAAAUAAACACUUGGAGAGAAAAAUAGAGAGAGAGAGAGUCGUGAGAGUGAGUGGAGAAACACAACAUUGUUCUAGACCAAUCAAGUUGGUGAGAGAAAGAAGAACAUCAUAGUGUUUGGGUGGUGGUCGUGACUUGAGAGAGUCUUAGAGGAGUGAAGACUUGGAGUCUAGUGAAGGGAGGAAACCUAAGAGCCUUUGGAAGCUUGCUUGGAACUAGAGGUAAGGGGUUUAACUUGGGAUAUAAUAUGGUGUAUGAUGGGUAGAAGGUAACAUGAUAAUAUUGAUGCAU
rnacentral:lncRNA from 1 species